rfam:Gossypium arboreum cultivar AKA8401 contig_66_5, whole genome shotgun sequence.
UGCUAAAAAUUUCAUCUAUUUGUACAAUUAAAAACUGGCAUAUGACAGAAUAACCAGACAAUGACCAGUUUUUAAUAGUAGAAAUGGAUGAAAUUUUAUCA